GCGACCCCUCCCGGACUCCAUAGUUCAUUUCAGGUCGGAACUUGCGCAUUCGGGCCGGACCUCAAGCCAUGGGCCUCUGCGAAGGCGCCGGCGUGCCCACGGCUAAGAAACUUCCUCUUUCUGCUCCCGGGAACGAAGGCUGUAGCAGAGAAGGCCUUCAAGUUUCGAGACCCAGUUCCAGCCGCAGCUGAGCACUGGUGACCUUGAAUUAAGUCUAAUGUUGGGAUUGGAAGACGCUUCAGACAUCCGCUGCCGCCCUGGGCAAGCGACCAGCUCAAGGUUACCCCACAGGGACGUGCUCUGGUCCCACGGUCCAGUGCUCUUUUGUCGGUUAGUUUUGUCAUUUGUAAAAUAGGAACAGUAGAUAGUGGUAGGAAAGUGGUUGUGAAAACUUAAUAGAAAGCUAAGCGCCUUGGUCGGGCGCAGUGGCAUGUCACCCCUGCAAUUCUAUCACUUUGGGAGGCUGAGGCGGGCGGAUCGUUUGAGCCCAGGAAUUCGAAACCAGUCUGGGCAAUAUGAAACCCCAUCUCUGCAAAUAAAGUACAAAAAAUUAAGAGUGGUGGCGCGCUUCUGUGGUCCCAGCUAC
rnacentral:lncRNA from 10 species